AUGCCGCCAGGAGGUGGAGAAGGAGAAGGCGAGCAUGGCAGCACGGUGCAGAGCCAUCCACCGGCGACCGUCCGCGGCGACGAGGACGCCCCGCCCCAUUCUACGCCGCCGCUCCCCGUCAUUGUCCAUGUAGCUUCCGAGGAGAAGAAGCAGAAUCUGGAGCCCGUGCCGAACCUUCCCGAGGGCGCCCUCGUCGAGAUCCUUUCACGAGUGCCCUACAAGUCGCUCUGUCGCUUCAAGUGCGUGUCCAAGCCGUGGCUUGCUCUCUGCUCAGCCCCUGACAUCCGCAAGAGGUCGCCACAGACCCUCUCUGGCUUCUUCUACUACCAAGCCGGACGCCUUUGUUUCCGCAAUUUGUAUGGGAGAGGUCCGCCUCUGGUCGACCCAUCUCUCCCUUUCUUGCGCGAAAGCUACUGCCACAUUUUUGUCAAACACGUCUGCGGGGGCCUUCUCCUCUGCAUCUGCUCGAAUAAUCUGCGAGACGAGUCCUAUUAUGUUGUCUGCAAUCCUGCUACCGAAGAGUGGACUGUGCUGCCUCCUGUCGGAUUUCCAGGUCGCGAUCCGAUCGCUUUCCUAGGUUUUGACCCUGCUAUUCCAUCCCGUUUUGUGGUGUUUGCCCCCAAGAACCAGAUGGUUGGUACUAUGAACGAUUACAGACAAAGUGGCAAUCUACUCGACAGAAACUGGACGGUGGACUCAUGUGCAAAGUAA
rnacentral:rRNA from 1 species